GGCUUCUUCGCUCCCUCCCUCUCCCGGCCCCGCGCCCCCUUACCCGUGGCGGCCGCUACGCUGGCCACGCUCCAGCGAAAUGAGGUAGGCGGCGAGUUUGGCGUCGCUCCAGCCGCUGCGGCGUCUCAGGUCCACCCAGGGGCCGUGCGCCUCGCCCAGGACGGCGAUCCCACAUUCCUGCUGCCGUGGGUAGUGGACAAAGAUGCGCUGGAUAACGUUACGGGGCCGGAAGACCUCCUUGGGGAAAACAUCCAGCAGCAGCUAGGCCAGUGCCUGGUACAUGGUAAAUGCCCAACACCGAUCAACUGUGCGUGAAUAAGUAGUAAGUUUCUACAAAACGUAGAAAAAUCUUAACAGCGAGGUAGCGUGUGUGCGUGUGUGUGUGUGUAUGUAUGUGGGUGGCCUGGCACAAUUCCGGGUCUCUGAGAGAGGCUGGAAGGUUCCAAUGCCUGCCUCACAGACCAAGUGUGGCCCGAGUCCGCUGUCCCACCUGUGAAACCGAACGCCUUCAGCAAGAGGUGCCCAGCAACCUUUCUUCACACGUUCCCAAGCCUGCACCCCAAAAGGUCACAGUGCCCUGAUUCUGAGGCCAAGUUGAAGGUUAUCCUCCCCGGCUCUACCAGGCCUGGAAGUGGACGCCCCAAUCGUAGACAGUCCCAUAGCCUUCCCACACGCGACCCACCUACUCACGCGGCCAGCCGAGGACCCGAGCCGGCUCGGUGGGACCGCUGGGCGCCGUCAUGUUGAGCCACAGAGCUUCCGGUUACGAGUCGAAGGUGACAGCAAAUCAGAAAAGCCUAUGACGAUAGGUCCCGCCCUCAAGAAGAGAUCCACCAAUAGGAAGGCGGGAAGACACUGGUUUCGCUUCAGGGACAGGCCCUGCCUCUCACUGAACGCCAGAAGCCUGGAGACCUUGGGUACCUGCGCCAAAGCGCUGGAUCGGGUGCCCCGGCGUCCGUUCGGUCCAGUUUCCUCCCCCGUGAUGGUAAAUUAUUAUUGUUACGGAUUGGAAGCACCACAUCCGGUUCGGAGCCCAGGGCCUCUUGCGUACUAAACAAGCACUCUACCGCUGGCAACUAAGCCACAGCCCCAAGUCCCAGGAUUUAUUCUUUUUACUAAACGGGUUUUGUUUGUUUGUUU